rnacentral:tRNA from 1 species
GAGGGUAUAGCUCAUGGGUAGAGCGCCUGUUUAGCAUGCAUGAGGUCACUGGGUUCAAUCCCCAGUACUGCCG